rnacentral:rRNA from 1 species
AGAGUUUGAUCAUGGCUCAGAGUGAACGCUGGCGGUAGGCCUAACACAUGCAAGUCGAACGGCAGCACAGGAGAGCUUGCUCUCUGGGUGGCGAGUGGCGGACGGGUGAGGAAUACAUCGGAAUCUACCUUGUCGUGGGGGAUAACGUAGGGAAACUUACGCUAAUACCGCAUACGACCUUCGGGUGAAAGUGGGGGACCGCAAGGCCUCACGCGAUUAGAUGAGCCGAUGUCGGAUUAGCUAGUUGGCGGGGUAAAAGCCCACCAAGGCGACGAUCCGUAGCUGGUCUGAGAGGAUGAUCAGCCACACUGGAACUGAGACACGGUCCAGACUCCUACGGGAGGCAGCAGUGGGGAAUAUUGGACAAUGGGCGCAAGCCUGAUCCAGCCAUACCGCGUGGGUGAAGAAGGCCUUCGGGUUGUAAAGCCCUUUUGUUGGGAAAGAAAUCCUGUCGAUUAAUACUUGGCGGGGAUGACGGUACCCAAAGAAUAAGCACCGGCUAACUUCGUGCCAGCCGCCGCGGUAAUUC